AUGAACGCUGGCGGCGUGCCUAAUACAUGCAAGUCGAGCGAACAGACGAGGAGCUUGCUCCUCUGACGUUAGCGGCGGACGGGUGAGUAACACGUGGAUAACCUACCUAUAAGACUGGGAUAACUUCGGGAAACCGGAGCUAAUACCGGAUAAUAUAUUGAACCGCAUGGUUCAAUAGUGAAAGACGGUUUUGCUGUCACUUAUAGAUGGAUCCGCGCCGCAUUAGCUAGUUGGUAAGGUAACGGCUUACCAAGGCAACGAUGCGUAGCCGACCUGAGAGGGUGAUCGGCCACACUGGAACUGAGACACGGUCCAGACUCCUACGGGAGGCAGCAGUAGGGAAUCUUCCGCAAUGGGCGAAAGCUUGACGGAGCAACGCCGCGUGAGUGAUGAAGGUCUUCGGAUCGUAAAACUCUGUUAUUAGGGAAGAACAAAUGUGUAAGUAACUAUGCACGUCUUGACGGUACCUAAUCAGGAAGCCACGGCUAACUACGUG
rnacentral:rRNA from 1 species